rnacentral:rRNA from 1 species
GAGUUUGAUCAUGGCUCAGAUUNAACGCUGGCGGCAGGCCUAACACAUGCAAGUCGGACGGUAACAGGAUUAGCUUGCUAAUUGCUGACGAGUGGCGGACGGGUGAGUAAUACUUAGGGAUCUGCCUUUGUGAGGGGGAUAACCAUUGGAAACGAUGGCUAAUACCGCAUAAUGUCUACGGACCAAAGGGGGCUUUUAGCUCUCGCACGAAGAGGAACCUAAGCGAGAUUAGCUAGUUGGUGGGGUAAAGGCUCACCAAGGCGACGAUCUCUAGCUGUUCUGAGAGGAAGAUCAGCCACACUGGGACUGAGGCACGGCCCAGACUCCUACGGGAGGCAGCAGUGGGGAAUAUUGCACAAUGGGGGAAACCCUGAUGCAGCCAUGCCGCGUGUGUGAAGAAGGCCUUCGGGUUGUAAAGCACUUUCAGUCGUGAGGAAAGGUUGGUAGUUAAUACCUGCCAACUAUGACGUUAGCGACAGAAGAAGCACCGGCUAACUCCGUGCCAGCAGCCGCGGUAAUACGGAGGGUGCGAGCGUUAAUCGGAAUUACUGGGCGUAAAGCGCACGCAGGCGGUUUGUUAAGCUAGAUGUGAAAGCCCCGGGCUCAACCUGGGAGGGUCAUUUAGAACUGGCAGACUAGAGUCUUGGAGAGGGGAGUGGAAUUCCAGGUGUAGCGGUGAAAUGCGUAGAGAUCUGGAGGAACAUCAGUGGCGAAGGCGACUCCCUGGCCAAAGACUGACGCUCAUGUGCGAAAGUGUGGGUAGCGAACAGGAUUAGAUACCCUGGUAGUCCACACCGUAAACGCUGUCUACUAGCUGUUUGUGUAUUUAAUACGUGAGUAGCGAAGCUAACGCGCUAAGUAGACCGCCUGGGGAGUACNGCCGCAAGGUUAAACUCAAUGAAUU